rnacentral:rRNA from 1 species
GCCGCAGCGAAAGGCUGUGCUACACCCGCAUGCGCUUUCCGGAUGAAAACAGGAGAUGGCACAGACCUUGCGCGAAUGGAGCGCCCGAUGGCAGAUUAUGUAGUUGGUGAGUGUAGAGGCUCACCAAGACGUCGAUCUGUCGCUCUCUGAGAGGCCGACCAGCCACAGUGGGACUGACACACGGCCCAGAUUCUACGGGACAGCAACAGUGGGGAAUUUUGGACAAUGGGCGAAAGCCAGAUCCACACAUGCCGCGUGCAAGAUGAAGGCCCUUCGGGGUUGUAAACUGCUUUUGUACGUAGCGAAACGGCCUUUUCUAACAGAAUGGUCUUAUGAUGAUACCGUAAGAAUAAGCGCCGGCUAACUACGUGCCAGCAGCCACGGUAAUACGUAGGGUGCAAGCGUUAAUCGGAAUUACUGGGCGUAAAGCGUGCGCAGGCGGUUAUGUAAGACAGUUGUGAAAUCCCCGGGCUCAACCUGGGAACUGCAUCUGUGACUGCAUAGCUAGAGUACGGUAGAGGGGGAUGGAAUUCCGCGUGUAGCAGUGAAAUGCGUAGAUAUGCGGAGGAACACCGAUGGCGAAGGCAAUCCCCUGGACCUGUACUGACGCUCAUGCACGAAAGCGUGGGGAGCAAACAGG